rnacentral:rRNA from 1 species
GAUGAACGCUGGCGGCGUGCUUAACACAUGCAAGUCGAACGAUGAAGCCCAGCUUGCUGGGUGGAUUAGUGGCGAACGGGUGAGUAACACGUGAGUACCCUGCCCUUGACUCUGGGAUAAGCCUGGGCAACUGGGUCUAAUACUGGAUAUGACUUCUCAUCGCAUGGUGGGGGGUGGAAAGAUUUAUUGGUCUUGGAUGGACUCGCGGCCUAUCAGCUUGUUGGUGAGGUAAUGGCUCACCAAGGCGACGACGGGUAGCCGGCCUGAGAGGGUGACCGGCCACACUGGGACUGAGACACGGCCCAGACUCCUACGGGAGGCAGCAGUGGGGAAUAUUGCACAAUGGGCGCAAGCCUGAUGCAGCGACGCCGCGUGAGGGAUGACGGCCUUCGGGUUGUAAACCUCUUUCAGUAGGGAAGAAGCGAGAGUGACGGUACCUGCAGAAGAAGCGCCGGCUAACUACGUG